CCGCGGGGGGCCCCAGGUUUGAGGUGAGCGGCUGCAGGAGGCGCCGCAGCCGCCAGAAAGGCCUCGGGUCCCCGGGAGCGUGUAAACAUCGAAGGAGACUCGUCUUCCUACGACUUUCUUUCCGCAGGGGGUCCUCAGGCGAUGAGAAGUCGCCGGGCCGAGGCGUGCGACGACGAAUGCGUCCUGCUCCUGGUCGGUGACAGCCUUCCGAGUGGCCGCAGGUUGGGGGAGCCAGGUGAGUUUACUGGAAGAUUGGCCUGUGCACUGGGUGAAAAUCUGCCAAUUUCAAUUCUGCCUGGUCCUCUGGGCCUGAACUGUCAUUGUUUUGUUUUAGCACCUUCCAGGUUUGUUUGGUUUAAUCACUGACCACAUAAUUUUUGAAGGCUGACCUACAUAAGACCCUGUUUUGUAUGGCUAUGAAUAAAUGGAGUCAGACUCUAAGGAGACUUUGUACACACUA